rnacentral:lncRNA from 1 species
UGGGGUAUGUGCUUACUCAAGGCCAGCUAGCUGAUUUGUUCACCCAAGCCUUGGAGAGUCCAACAGAUUCAAAAGUUUAACAAGCUUUGUUGGGGUGUGUCAAGCUUGAAAGUGUAGACAAUUAUGAACGGUAUCCGUACGGCGAUCCCUGAUGUUGUUUUUGACUUAUUUUGUGAUCACUCAUGGUGAUUUUUAUCUGCUAAAGUUUUGGAGGCUAAUAAAAUAAAAAAUAAAAAUACAUUUUUAUUGUUGUCAUCUGUUGUAUUCUGUUAGUUUGGCCUCUUCUCAUGUAUUCCUUUUGCAGGAACGGUCCCGGUGACAUGGAGGCCACACGCGGGGAUCUCACGUGGGAAGCCGACCCUCCGAUGCCCCUCCAGUGUAUUCCAGGAGCUUCUGGAAUUCUUGGCUAUUGAAAUUCUCUUUUCUUUUGGGCUCCUUCGGGUUUGGGCUAG